rnacentral:rRNA from 1 species
UACAGAGGGUGCGAGCGUUAAUCGGAAUUACUGGGCGUAAAGCGUGCGUAGACGGCUAUCUAAGUCGGGUGUGAAAGCCCCGGGCUCAACCUGGGAAUUGCAUUCGAGACUGAAUAGCUAGGGUACGGUAGAGGGAAGCGGAAUUUCCGGUGUAGCGGUGAAAUGCGUAGGUAUCGGAAGGAACAUCAGUGGCGAAAGCGGCUUCCUGGACCAGUACCGACGUUCAGGCACGAAAGCGUGGGGAGCAAACAGG